rnacentral:rRNA from 1 species
UACGGAGGGUGCAAGCGUUGUCCGGAAUCACUGGGCGUAAAGGGCGCGUAGGCGGCUCAUGAAGGCUGUGGUGAAAGUCCGGGGCUCAACCUCGGAUCGGCCGUGGCGACUCGUGGGCUGGAGCACUGUAGAGGCGGGUGGAAUUCCGGGUGUAGCGGUGGAAUGCGUAGAGAUCCGGAAGAACACCAGUGGCGAAAGCGGCUUCCUGGUCCAGCACCGACGUUCAGGCACGAAAGCGUGGGGAGCAAACAGG